rnacentral:rRNA from 1 species
AUUGAACGCUGGCGGAAUGCUUUACACAUGCAAGUCGAGCGGCAGCACGGGGGCAACCCUGGUGGCGAGCGGCGAACGGGUGAGUAACACAUCGGAACAUGCCCAGUCGUGGGGGAUAACACUUCGAAAGAAGUGCUAAUACCGCAUACGUCCUGUGGGAGAAAGCGGGGGAUCGCAAGACCUCGCGCGAUUGGAGUGGCCGAUGUCAGAUUAGCUAGUUGGUGGGGUAAAGGCCUACCAAGGCGACGAUCGGUAGCUGGUCUGAGAGGGUGAUCAGCCACACUGGGGCUGAGACACGGCCCAGGCUCCUACGGGAGGCCGCAGUGGGGAAUUGUGGACACUGUGGGCAACCUUGAUCCAGCCAUUCCACGUGAGUGAAGCAGGCCUGCGGGUUGUAAAACUCUUUCGGCAUGAACGAAACGUUGCGCCCUAACAGAGCUUGCUAGUGACGGUACCUGAAGAAGAAGCACCGGCUAACUACGUG